rnacentral:rRNA from 1 species
GCUAGGAAUAUUCCGCAAUGGACGAAAGUCUGACGGAGCGACGCCGCGUGGAUGAUGAAGGCCUUCGGGUUGUAAAAUCCUUUCGUGCGGGAAGAUUUUUUGUUGGGUAAAUAAUCCAACGGAUCGACUGUACCGCAGGAAGAAGCCCCGGCUAAUUACGUGCCAGCAGCCGCGGUAAUACGUAUGGGGCGAGCGUUAUUCGGAUUUAUUGGGCGUAAAGCGUAUGUCGGGGGCUUGUUAAGUCGAGGGUGAAAUUUUCUUGCUCAACAUGAAAAUUGCUUUCGAAACUGGCAAGCUAGAGUUUUGGAGAGGAGAUUGGAAUUCCAGGUGUAGGGGUGAAAUCUGUAGAUAUCUGGAAGAACACCAGUGGCGAAGGCGAAUCUCUGGCCAAAAACUGACCCUUAGAUACGAAAGCCAGGGGAGCAAACGGGAUUAGAAACCCGGGUAGUCC